GGUGGCUCAGUGGUAAGAGCACUUGCCUUGCAUGCAUAAGGCCCUGGGUUCAAUUCCUCAGUACCA
rnacentral:tRNA from 1 species